GCAGAACAAAACUUGUUCAUGAUGGGAAGGACAGCACUGUCCUUUCCUGUAAUUUUUUUCCCAUUCACUAUGGGAUCAAGGUUGCUGAACCACUAGCAAAGCUGAAACCAAUGACUUUAAAUGCAGAAUAUUGACAAAAAGGCAGAAUGGAAACCCUGCUCUAUGUAAGUGAGAAAGCAUGCUCUGGAAAAGGCAUGUUGUGGUAUAACUCCAGCUGGUAACUAAGUGAAGUGGCGCUACACAGCUACUUGCUCAUGCUCUCCUGGUGGGUUGGAGGAGAGAAUCGGAAAAGUGAGAAAACUCAUCAGUUGAGUUAAAGACAGUUUAAUAGGUCAAGAAAAGGUUGUGCACACAAGCAAAGCAAAGCAAGGAAUUCAUUCACCACUUCCCAUCGGCAGGCAGGUGUUCAGCCACCUCCAGGAAAGCAGGGCUCCACCAUGGCAGGGGGGUUGGGAUUAGGUGAUCUUAAGGUCCUUUCCAACCCUAACUAUUCUAUGAUUCUAUGAUUCUAUGUUUAACAGUUACUUGGGAAGACAAAUGCCAUCAAUCCGAAUGUCCCUCCCUUCCUUCUUCUUCACCCAGCUUUAGACGCUGAGCAUAACACCAUAUGGUAUUGAAUAUCCCUUUGGUCAGUUGGGGUCAGCUGUCCCACUGUCCCUUCCCAACUCUUUGUGCCCCCCCAGCCACUUGCUGGUGGGGUGGUGUAAGUAAGCACUAAAACAGCGAUGAAUUAUCAACACUGUUUCCAGUACAAAUCCAAAACAUAGCCCCAUACCAGCUACUAUGAAGAAAAUUAGCUCUAUCCCAGCCAAAACCAGUACAAAGCGUCCGUAAAAUCAGCCAUUGCAGACCCUAAGAUUACUCUAGUGAAAAUAACAAAGUACUUCUAAGUGUUCUUUGCCAGCAGUGAAGCAAAGCGGAAAGAAGCAUACUUAGGGGAAAUAGGCACCAUCAUGGCAUAUAAUGCCAAUAUGAAACUCCAGAAUGAUCGUUUAAAUGAGAAAAAUUGGAGAAGUUAUCCCAGCAGCUCAGCUGCACACAAUGUGCGAUGUCAUCCUCUCCUGCCACCAACCU
rnacentral:lncRNA from 1 species